rnacentral:rRNA from 1 species
AUGAACGCUAGCUACAGGCUUAACACAUGCAAGUCGAGGGGCANCGGGAUUGAAGCUUGCUUCAAUUGCCGGCGACCGGCGCACGGGUGAGUAACGCGUAUCCAACCUUCCGUACACUCAGGGAUAGCCUUUCGAAAGAAAGAUUAAUACCUGAUGGUAUGAUGAGAUUGCAUGAUAGCAUCAUUAAAGAUUUAUCGGUGAUGGAUGGGGAUGCGUCUGAUUAGCUUGUUGGCGGGUAACGGCCCACCAAGGCGACGAUCAGUAGGGGUUCUGAGAGGAAGGCCCCCCACAUUGGAACUGAGACACGGUCCAAACUCCUACGGGAGGCAGCAGUGAGGAAUAUUGGUCAAUGGACGAGAGUCUGAACCAGCCAAGUAGCGUGCAGGAUGACGGCCCUAUGGGUUGUAAACUGCUUUUAUAAGGGAAUAAAGUGAGUCUCGUGAGACUUUUGCAUGUACCUUAUGAAUAAGGACCGGCUAAUUCCGUG